UAUGGAUCAUGAUCUUUUCCAUAUUGUGUCUCAUACUGCAGGAAUGCCUUUUUGCACUUUAGAUUCUUUGAUUGUGGUUCUUUCCCAAACCUAAUUUAUGAUUGAUGGAGAUAAGGAGAACUUAUGAAACAGAGGAGACAAAAGAGCCUGUAAGGUAGAAAGAAGAAAUUUAAGGUUCUUCAUGUAACCUCUACAUUGUGACAGUUGCAACCAUCCUCCACUGAACACUGAUCACAAGAAAUGAUUUUCAAAGAGCUGGACCAGCUGUUUCAAACCUUUUCAGGUUUCAGGGAUCAUUUCUUGGAUACCAAUGAUAUUUUAUUGCAGGAGGAGUUCUAAGGCCUUUGCAAGUGUCUGUGCUGCUGUUAAAUUUAAUGGGCUCCAGCUGUGCAGGGGUGCUGUCAAGAAAAAAAGAACAAACUCAUGAAGAAUAAACAGGGAAACAGGUUAAAAUAUUGCUGAGGUGCAAGCAUUGAGCAUCAAAGACCUGUGAUCAUUUUACUGAUCUGUAUCAACAAUCUCUAUGCAACAA
rnacentral:lncRNA from 1 species